UUGAUACUGAAUUCUGAAUUUCAACAGAGGAUUCUUCAUCUCCUGAUGAUGAAUUUGUUUCUUCUUCUGCAGGAAAUGAAGUAAAGAGGGAAUCUUCCAGAGUUUGUAGCAAGGUGGUCCACCGUCCUCUGUACCACAGUGAGGGCAUUGCAGGUUUUUAUCUUUCGGGAGAAUCUUUUGGUAGAAUGUUUUGAUGCCGUAUGGCUUCAGUAGUGAAGCUAUAGCGACUGAUUGUGGACUAUAGGGGAGAGUGCAGUGACUUAUGUUAAUUUGUGCUGGUUUUGUGUAAUUUGGGUUAUAAAAGUGUCUGUUGAUGAAUGAAAUAGGGUAAUUGGCAUUUGUCAAAUGGGCUAUUUGAUAUCUCAAUGUUUUGGAAUAUGUUAAGUGAACAAUGUGUGAAGAUCCGCUUGGUAAGGGUCUUCGCUAAGCUUAUUUUAUGGGUAAUGGGGCAGUGGGAGCUAUAAUGUGUGUAGUGUGGGGGGUGAGUUGUUCUUAUAGUAAACGGUAGUGUGAAAGAAAUUAUUGGUACGGAUUCGUUCGUUUUAUUUAAUUCAAAUAUCUGAUUUAAAAUAAAAUAAAAUAAACAUAUAAAUAACAAUCAUCUAAGAGGUUCUAAACUGAGUAUAUACAUCUGGUAAGUCAAUUUUUCUAUUAAUACUAUUUUUAUUUUCUCCUGAGCUCCAGCUUUCUAAAUAUAAUCGGCAAUGUUCUUCUAUGAUAUUUUGAUGUAUUAUAGAUGUGUGAUCGAAGUCUGGAGUAUGACUAUUGUUGAAUGCAUGAUCUACCAGUAGGGAUGUCGGACUAUGGUGCUUUAGUGCGGAUUUGUGUUGGUUAAUUCUUUCAGAUAAAGAUUUGCUGGUUUCUCCUAUGUAUAUUGCCUGACAGGAUUUACAUGGUAUUUUAUAAAUUACAUUGACUCUAUCUUCUGGCUUGUAGAUUUGUUUUGUAUCAGGGUGACGGAAGAUGCUUCUUUAAUUUUGGUUGGGUUGAUAUCUUGAGUUGAGUUUUUUUAAACUUCUGGCUAUUCAUUCACAACCAUAGGUGUAAGGUAAGGAGCAAAAUAUGUUCGGGGUUAAGACCUGUCUAUUGUUCGUGGAUGGAAUUUUUGGUAUAUAUAAUUGCUUUUUUAUAUUAUUCCAAAUGAAGAGCACCUCGUCGCUGGCCUGAUGGGGCAGGUUCUUCCCUAGCUUCCUUAACAGCAGGUCUGCUUCUUCAAUGGAGAAAGGGUCGCAGUGGUACAGGCCUGGGUGAGGAUGGUGGCAUCGGGAUUCACCCGUCUCAGUUCCUGGUAGCUAGCUGUCUGGAGCAGUUUUUCCCAUCUUGAGAAGGCAUACUGCAUUAGAAGAGAUGGGUUCUUCCAACUGGGCUCUGCCCUUGGAGAUCUAGGUUGAAUUCAAUGUUAUCACCAACUAUGUGUUUAUUUGGAUCAUUUUGGUGCAGCCUGAGGAGUGUUGAUCCAGUAUCUCCUGCAUGGUACGCUUCUUGUUGAUGUUGUAGGAUCUACUAGGAGUAGAUAUAAAUGGAUUUAUUUUAAAGUUUACAAUUUAAAACAAAAUUAAAAAGAAAGAGAAAGUAAAAAGUCUUAUUCUUCGGUUGUCAUCGUAAACGCUCUUCUUGAUUCCGUGUUGCCAGCUUCUUCCUAAUCAAAUCCUACAUAUAUAUAUAUUUAAUUAUCGUCUAUCAAACCUCCCUUUAAUUAAAAAUUCAGUCCUGUGUGAAGUCCAUUCCCAGCAUCUUGGUCUGGUUAUUUAGGCGGAGACCGGAGAGGUUCUUGGUUAACAGGUCCUGUUGUUCUGUUCUCACAUAGAUUGGUUGGAUUGUUUUCUUCACAUUAGGAUUGUCAUCAAUAACUUGUGAUCUAGGAAGAUGUAUAUAGGCUGAAGUCCUCUCCGCAUACAGAUCUUGAAGAGCUUGUGUGAUAUAUUGGAUUCCUCCCGUUUAAUCUGCCUAAUUGCUUGAGCCACACCUGCAUCUAGUUCCGUAUGCUCUGAUUUGGAUAUAUAUUUUGCUAUGUAAAAUGUGAUGGCAUCAUUUGAUCCGUAUGGUCGAAUAUCCAUAUUUCCUUUCCAUAAUCCUAAGAGUGUUGGAUUAUAGUUGUUAACCCAUCGGUCCUCCUGGUGACGCUUGAGUAAACUUAGUCUUCCACCGUUCCGUACGAAAUCAAGUGAUGAAUGUGCUACGAUUCGGGUUUCCGCACACUCCUGACGUGGGAAGCUGAACCUACAUGUUGGUGAAUCAUUUUUCGUACAAGAAGUAGUGUGAUGAUGAAUUUGACACUUCUUGAUUUAGCUCAUGAAUCUCUGAAUCUUCGGAUGAUAUUUUGCAUGAGCAUACACGAUCGAAUGAUGGAUUGUUUUCUAACCAAACCACUAUAUGUAGAUGUGGACUACCUCUGUUUUGAAACUCGAUACGCCACCAGUAGUCGUUCACUCGUCCGCCAAACACCUCCUGGUUGCUUAGGAUAAAUUUCAUCAACGUAUUUACGCAAAUUGCAAAAUGACGGCUUACAAUCACUGAAUUGUUCGAUUAGUUUUUGCGUCGCUUGCAAGUCAAGUGCAGCAGGAUUUGUGUUGAUUUAUAAGAUCUUUGAGUGGUUUGCUGGUUUCCCCUAUAUAAUUAGCUUGGAAAUUGUUACAAGGUAUUCGGUAAAUUACAUUGAUUUUGUUUUCCAUUUUGUUAAUUUGCUCAGUGUCUGGAUGGCGUAGGGCCUUUUUUAUAUUUAAAGAUGAUUGAUAGGUGGUUGUGAUUUUGUAUCUCUUUAGGACUCUGGCGAUACGUUCAGAGCCGUAGCUGUAGGGGAGGGAGCAGUAAAGCUUUUUUGAUUGAUCAGGUGUGUUAUUUAAUGGUGGAGAUUUGGUUUGAAAAAUGUUUUUCGAUAAAUUUGCUUGGGUAAUUGUUGUUUUUUAAUUUUCUGAAGAUUCUAUUUCUUGUAGUUGUUAGCCGCCCAAUCAAGGGACAAGGAAGCAGAGUCUGUACCAACUGUGUAAGCUAUAGAGGGUGGAGGUGGUGAAAGCAUAAAAUCUCAUGGUGACAGGUCGGGUUUGGGGCUAGCAUCAUUUUCUGAAGAUUCUAUUUCUCUUCAUUAUUUCAUGAGCAAUGUGUUUCUAAUCUUUUGGAGAGAGCUUUAACCACAGCGUUUUUAUGAUGUACUGGUCCAAUAAUUGAAAAAUAAAUAAUUUCCUGUGUGUGUGCUAAAAAAAGAUCUUUAUUAAGUCAAAAAUGUCCUUACAGCUCUAUUGUUAGUGGGGAAGGGGUACAAUUGAUAUCGAUAUCUAUAAAAUAUUUGUAGAUUUCGUAUUUAAAAUAUGACAUACUUGUUGCGGUCGAGAACGUAGUUGGCUGGACUGAAGCUAAAACCCAGGUUGACGAUCAGGCAUGUUUCUGUAUGGUGUUAUGCUUUGUUAUAAAAAAGGAACUUUAAGGAUUUAUAUCGCUUAGUUUUAUUUAUUUAACUAUUUACAAGGCAAUAUUAUCUAACUUAUAACAAUCACAGCUAUGCCGGAACUUCCGCCAGCCUAAGGUAAACAGUAAUGAUGGGUUGUCAGAUGGUAACUUAUUCUCAACACAUCUCCCCCUUUUCUUCUAGAGGUUUAGCCUGUCUGGCGGCUUUAUCACGCCUCCACUCCUGGUCUUUACUGGUUCCGGUGAUCUCUGGAAUGUCCUCGGUUCACUGUCACAAGUAGUGUUGUCCCAAGUAGAUGUGAAGCACUGACUCAUCUCAGGAGACUCUUCAUCUUCCAUGUCAAUCUUUUCACCCGUUCACCUUAAAAACAAAAUCAGUAAUGAUGAUGAUCAUUCGUCUGUUCACAUUCUAAGUAUCAAUGCUCUUUAUCUAAAUAUAAAUGAUAAAUAAUUAUUAUUUUCUAUUUCAUGCGUAAAUUUUAAAAAUGAUCUUAAAUUAUUCAAAUAUUUUAAAAUUACAGAAAUAUCUGAUUCUGUUAUACAAAAAAAUGUCAUCUAUGUACCUCUUCCAAAAAAAUAAUUUUGAGUUGCUUUGAUUCAGUGACAACUCAAUCAAUUUGGUCCAUGAAAAUGUUCGCUAAUGGCGAUGAGAUAGGGUUUCCCAUCGGUAAGCCUUUGAUUUGUCUGUAGAAUUUAUCUUUGUGUCUGAAAUAAUUGUGUUCUAAACAAAGAGUUUAAUUAAACAAUUAAAACCUCUUUGGAGAAAGAAAUAACAAGAUUUUGAUGGGUUUCUAUAACUUUUUGGAGUGCUAGAAUAGCUUCAUUGUGUGGGAUUGAAGUGUAGAGUGAUUCAAUGUCGAAAGAUACCAUACGGCUGUUAUUAGAAGUUGAAAGGUCUCUGAUUGUUUCUGCAGCUACUGUAGAAUUUGGGACAGUGUGGGGAAGUAAUUUCUGGAGGGGAGAGAUGAUAGUGAGGGGGUAAACCAGCAUAAGAAACAAUAGGAUGCAACAAUAUGUUUGGCUUAUGUACUUUUAUGGGCCAUAAGAGUUUGGUAAAUUCUUGCUUUCGGCCUUUAAAUUUUCAAAUGUUUUUUCUCUAGUUUUUAUAUACACCAUUUUGUCAAGUUUUAUUAUUUAAAUUCUUUAGUGCAAUUUGUUAAUAGAUUUCUUGAAGUAAACCUUCUACCUUAGUAUUGUAAUCUGUAGUGUUCAUAAUUACUGUGUUUUGCCCACAAAUAUCAUUUUAGAAGGAGGAGGAGAGCCAAAAAGUUCAGAGAGAGAGUAUUUGGUGGUAGGAUGGAUGUUACUGAAACACCGGAGACCAUGUUGGGGUUCAUGGUAUCAUUCUGUUUAGGGUUCUUCAUGGACACAUGGCCAACUGUGUUUGUCAAUCUUUAAAACAAGAUUCGAAUCACUGGACGGUGUAACCAGCAUAAGUAAAACUAUUGCAACUCAAUGAUUGUUGGGAAGAAAGAAAAUUUAUUGUAAUUAAUACAAAAAAUUAAGAUCUUUAAUGGUGUGUAAAUGUCUGGUAAAUCAAUUUUCCUAUUUAUACUUUCUUUGUCUUCUGCAGAGGCCCAGCUUGCUAAGAAUAAUCGGCAGUGUUUUUCCUUAAUGUUCUGGUAUAAAAUAGCUGUAUUUUCAAAGUCCGGAGUGUGUUGUCGUAGAGUACAUGAUCUACAAGGAGAGACUGGGUUAGAAUUUCUUAAUAAUUAUUUGUGUUGAUUUAUUGUUGUUCAGUGCAUGAUCAACACGGAGAGACAGUGGGUUAUAAUUUCUUAAUCCUGAUUUGUGUUGAUUUAAACAAUCUUUGAGUGGUUUGCUGGUUUCCCCUAUAUAAUUAGCUGCAAAUUGUUACAAGGUAUUCUGUAAAUUACAUUGAUUUUGUUUUUCAUUUUGGUAAUUUGUUUAGUGUCUGGAUGGUGUAGGGCCUUAUUAAAGAUCUAAAUGGUGUGUAAAUGUCUGGUAAAUCAAUUUUCCUAUUUAUCCUUUCUUUGUCUUCUGCAGAGGCCUAGCUUUCUAAGAACAAUCAGCACUGUUUUUCCUCCAGUUCUCUAGGUCCUUGGCGUCCCCUUUCUUGUGGAGCAAGAUAGAGGAGCUUUCCUUCCACGAAGGGGGUGCCGCACUCAUCUGAAAGCAGGCCUGGAAGAUCUGGGUGAGGAUGGUGGCAUUGGGAUCCACCCAUUUCAGUUCCUGGUAGCUGUCUUGUAGCCUCCCCAUCUUGAAAAAGCAUACUGCGUUGGAAGAGAUGGGUUCUUUCAACUUGGGUUCCGUCCUUGAGAGUGAAGUCUUUGAGGAGAUCUGGGUCAGGGCUGAAUUCGGUGUUGUCCCCAACCAUGCAUUUUUCAAAAUGCUUCUCGAUUAUCUGGAUGGGGAUGGUGCAGCCUGGGGAGCGUUGGCCCAAUAUCUUCUCAAAUAUCGAAGCUGGGUACAGAUGGUCUGGUACUCCGAGGUUUUUGCGGUGGUGGUGCCCUACAUUUUGUCCUUGUGUUAGGUUUCCCAGUCUCAUUUUCACUUCUUUGAUUAAGUUCUCAAUGAGACAGAAGAGCAGUUCUUUGUGGUUUACAGCUGUAUCUGUAUCAUCCCACUCUUCCUGGAAGGGAGUGAGGGAUGUUCGGUGAGAGCGCUGCUGGAGUUCAUCAGGCUGGAGGAGGGGUGACCUUGUGGCUAGAGGGCAGUCGUUAGGUGGAGUGGCUGUGUUUGAAGAACCUCGCUAUCACAAACUUGUGGCGUUUGCACGUUGGGAGGGUCGUUAUCCACGACCGGCAGUUUGUCUGCAGCUUCCUCCUGUUGGAUCAGGGAAUGACGGCAGUGCAGGGUUGGAUGCUGGAGGACUGGUGGGGCGCGUUUCUUCAGAGAAGGUAUCUCUUUGAGCUUCCUCGGCAGAGUUCUCUGAUAAGGGUGAGACAAAAAUUAUUCGGCCCGCUUCGCAGGUAGCCAUACUUGUUAAGUGCACCUCUGGUCUGAAGGGUGUAGCCUUGGCGGAGAUGUCGCUUGUGGGAGGGACGUUUUGUUGUUCCAGUUCCACAGGCCAUCCUGUCGGUGUCUCAGAAGUUGGUUCAUGGGCUGCUGGCUGCCUUGCAGGCUCGGACCUUCUCUCCAACCUUCUGCCUGCAGGAGAAGAAUUGGCUCAGCAUCUCUCUGGUGGAGAUUUUUUUUUUAAACCUUCUUCCCAGGCUCUCCUUCAACUCGUUAUACCCCAACCGAGUCUGUUGAGACUGGAGGGCAAACUCCCUUGCAGCUCCUCUGAGGUGAUUAUCCAGGAGGAUCCUCUUCCUGGCAUCGACCAAUGGUCAUAGACCAGCUCGAAAUCUUUGAUGAAUUUUUCGAAAGGGACUAUGCCUUCCCCUUCAAGUGGUACAGCAUGGAGGGUAGCUGUACUUGGCUGGUGGGGGUGUUGUCGCUCUCAGUAGUCUUAGCAUUUAUCCCGGGACAUAGAAAUAGGGAAAUCAUACCUACAGAGAUGGGCAACUAGGGAAUAUCAAGAUAUGC